rnacentral:tRNA from 3 species
GGGCCGAUAGCUCAGCUGGGAGAGCGCCGCGUUCGCAAUGCGGAGGUCGGGAGUUCGAUCCUCCUUCGGUCCAC